AUUGCAUGCACUGCAGUGUCUGAAGAAGAACCACAUAAUAGCAGAGGACAGCACCUGCAAGUGGCCACUGCGCAACAUAACUACAACUACAGACUGUACCAACUGUCAGAUGUGGGAAACCUGUGAUGAUCAAACAAAUAAGUGCCGCUGUAAGGACUCUGCAGAGUGUUCAACCCCAGGAUUUAAUGUGUGUGUUCGUGUUGGGGAGGAUGCAACUGCAGCCACACAGACCAUGAGUGAGUGUGAAGCAGGACUACGCCGAUGUAAAGCAGAAAAGGUGUCAGUUGUCAAUAUCCUGCCAUGCACUUCCUGAGGAUACAGGAGGAAGGUUGACCUUACAACUCUAUUAUACAUUCCUUAUAGUUCCUGAAUCAGUAUUUUUUAGGUAAAGGAGCAUUAUUAUGCAUGUAUAAAGUCAAAUACAUUGUAUUGAACCAGCAAAUAAAAAAUAAAGCACAAGGUAUGCUUAAUUUCUUUA